AUUUAAAGGCUCACUUGAAAGCUAGACUAGAUAAAGAUACAAUAAAAAAAUUAGAUCAACCUAUUACCCUGUAAGAAAUAACAAAUACUAUAAAAAAACUAUCCAAAUGGUAAAAGUCCUGGUCUAAAUUGUUUGCAGAUACACUAGCUCCUUGUGUAUUCAAAUUCUACGAAGCUUUAGAAAUAGACACGAAUUUCCCCGCAGUCUCAGGAUUCACAACUCUUAGUUGUGUGAGG